rnacentral:rRNA from 1 species
UACGUAGGGGGCAAGCGUUGUCCGGAUUCAUUGGGCGUAAAGAGCUCGUAGGCGGCUUGGCAAGUCGGGUGUGAAAACUCCAGGCUCAACCUGGAGACGCCACCCGAUACUGCCAUGGCUUGAGUCCGGUAGGGGACCACGGAAUUCCGGGUGUAGCGGUGAAAUGCGCAGAUAUCAGGAGGAACACCGGUGGCGAAGGCGGUGGUCUGGGCCGGUACUGACGCUGAGGAGCGAAAGCGUGGGGAGCGAACAGG